rnacentral:rRNA from 1 species
GACGAACGCUGGCGGCGUGCCUAAUACAUGCAAGUCGAACGCAGGGGGGACGGGUGAGUAACACGUGGGUAACCUACCAUCAGAGGGGAUAAAACUUGGAAACAGGUGCUAAACCGAUACGGGUGGAAGGACCCGGGGUGCAUUAGCUAGUUGGUGGGGUAACGGCCCACCAAGGCCACGAUGCCUAGCCGGCCUGAGAGGGGUCUCGGCCACACUGGAACUGAGACACGGCCCAGACUCCUACGGGAGGCAGCAGUAGGGAAUCUUCGGCAAUGGACGAAAGUCUGACCGAGCAACGCCGCGUGAGUGAAGAAGGUUUUCGGAUCGUAAAACUCUGUUGUUAGAGAAGCGGUAUCUAACCAGAAAGCCACGGCUAACUACGUGCCAGCAGCCGCGGUAAUUC